AUUGAACGCUGGCGGCAGGCCUAACACAUGCAAGUCGAGCGAGCGGCGGACGGGUGCGUAAUGUAUGGGGACUGCCCGAUAGAGGGGGAUAACUACUGGAAACGGUAGCUAAUACCGCAUACUAUCGGAUAACCCAUAUGGGAUUAGCUAGUAGGUGAGGUAAUGGCUCACCUAGGCGACGAUGCCUAGCUGGGCUGCGAGGGUGAUCAGCCACACGGGGACUGAGAAACGGCCUAGACUCCUACGGAGGCAGCAGUGGGGAAUAUUGCGCAAUGGGCGAAAGCCUGAUAGAGCCAUGCCGCGUGUAUGAAGAAGGCCCUAGGGUUGUAAAGUACUUUCAGUCGAGAGGCGUUACCGACAGAAGAAGCACCGGCUAACUCCGUGCCAGCAGCCGCGGUAAUUC
rnacentral:rRNA from 1 species